GUCUAUAGCCUUGCUACCCUGAAUAAGCCUGAUCCCAUCUGAUCUCGGAAGCUAACCAGGUUCAGGCCUCAUUAGUACUUGGAUGGAAGACCACCUAGAAAGAGCAGGUGCUGUAGGCA
rnacentral:rRNA from 1 species